rnacentral:lncRNA from 1 species
UCCUUACAGUAUAGAAGUAAAACUAACUCUGGUAAUUUUUUUUCAGUUCUCUGCUUAAUGUUUUGACUCAUCCGUGUAACAGAGAAAUGAAGAAUUUUAAUGUGGACGAAAGCAAGAGCUCUGGAUGAACUAUCAUCUGCAAUUGCUCCAGAUACUCCAGCACCUUUGCCAGCAUAUCCUCGUCCAGAUACUGCCUGUUUUGCGUGUCAUCGGUGUCCCCAGCCAUGGAGAGCCUUUUGCUGAGCGAAGCCAGCCUUGCGGCCUCCUGUGGUCCCAGCUGGCUCAGGUGCUCUCUGAUGGCCUGCUCCAGCCGCUCAUCUUCCUGCAAGUCGCUUUCAGAAGCUGGGACAGGAACUCGUUUCAUCUGCUCCGCUGAACCCCAUCGCUGCCAGGAACGGGGCACCCG